UCCUCUGUGAGAGCUGGACACUAAACUGUCUGCAUUCACCAUCCUUUCCUUCUGUACAAAUGAUAUGUGACCAGAUGCUUCGAACUCCUACUGCCGUUUACUUCCCAUCAUGCUUUGCAACUCUCAAUGGAAGCUGGAAUAAACCCAUUCUCCUAAGUCACUUUGGUCUGAGAAUUUCAUCACAGCGACAGGAAAAAAAAAUGGAGUUUAGAUUCAUGCAAUAAACACUGUACUUGCCUCAGAUCUUCCCAUUUCUUCAAAAGAAGAGUGGACCAGUGUGACUGUUGGCCGGGCUUCCUCUUCCACUUGUCUUGCUGAAGCUGAAGUAUACUUCUGUGAUCAAGACUCAUCCAAGGCUCAGCAGAACCACCUGCAGCAUGGGCGAGGUCUGAAAACCGUCCGUCCUUCCGAGAGGCCCUGCGGAACCUGUCCAGCCAACACACUUCCCAGUGAAUUCGUCCCCAGUCUUCCCCGGACUCAAAACUGCAGGCUGGAAGGCAAGCCACCAGUGGAUCUGGUGUCUGCUCAGGGUGACAAGACCAAGGCUGAGAGAUUAGGAAAGGGCUAAGAAUCUGAGUCACUGGCUGAGCAAACUACAGGUCAAUGAUGGACCUUCUCAAAAGCAAUACAUAAAUGAUUGAGGAACAAAAGCAUCACAUCAUCAACUUUUGCCCUCCACAACUGCCUACAGAGACAAACUCUUCUGGACAAAAAGAUGUCCUCUGCAGAUGGCACCAGUCAAAAGAACCCAGUAAACACCAAACCUUGGUCUGCAGGACAAAACACAACCCUUCCUGAGGGUCAGUUCCUCCAGAUAUUACAAUUAAAAUAAGGGCAUUUCAAUACAUUAUAUUCCCUGGGGAUGUUCAUUAAAAUUAAAAGAGGUAGAGGAGGUGAAGGAGGAGAAAGAAGAGGAGGAGGAAGAAGAAGAAGAAGAGGAAGAGGAGAAGGAGAAAGCUGCUGCUGCUGCUGCUGCUGAUGACUACCUGGGCUCUGUGCAGCUUCCCUGGCCACACCCCUUCCCACACACCUGCAGGAAGACCACAGCAGCCACAGAGAAUGGGUCGGGACCAAGGUCAGUUCAUAAUAAAGAGCUUUCCAGAAGCCCCCAUUCCCACCCCAAGCCAACAGGAAUUGGCAAUGAACUUUAAGAAAAGGCUACGAGAGCCAGAAAACAACUUAGGGCUGUUUAAUUUUCCUGACAUGAACGCUGGCCACCCAAGGGGAUAAAGGAAACACCUGUCUCCCGUGGGCAGCGGUUCUGCAGGGUUUGUGGACAUCCAGAAAGCUGCUGGGAGGCUUCUUUCACCUGCCAAGUUAGAGACAAACAAACCUGUGGAAAGAGUGGUUUCGCAGAAGACCAUGGACCCCAGCCUGGGUCUCAGCUCUGCCUCUGACUAGGAAGGCACUAGAAUCAGCAACCCUGCCUUUAAGAAGAACAUAAGCUUUUUGCACAGUAUUCUCUCACGGGCUUUUAUUGAGACUCAUAAAGGAAGCAACAACACUUGAGAGUGUUGCAAAGUGGAAAAAACAAAACAGAAACAAAAACAACAACAAAAAACACGUGAACAUGACGUUGGGGGAAAGGAUGAAACCAGCCAUUGCAAGCCAGGAGAAUCCUUGGGAAGCGAGGCACAGCGGCGGAACAGCCUGAGCACAGAGGUUCAGGGUCAGGGUAGGGUGCCUGGCGAAUUCCCGUAACGCAGGACACUGCCCAAGCCAGCUUCAUAAAAAGUCACUCCGUUGAUUUCAGGCUCAAUGGGAACAUCUCUUGGCUGUUUGCUGAAUUUAGACACUUUAAAAAGUUUUCUUUGACUGAACAAGGGGUUCCUGAGACCAGCUUCCUGAGGGUAUCUUGGUAAACAAGCCUCCCACCACGAAUUUCCUUGCUGUUAUUGUAACUGGUUUUAACUGCACUUGAGUUUGUUUGGUUUGGUCUUUUGUUGUUUUUUUGUUUUUGUUUUUUUCUUUUUUCCUUUUCAGACAGUUGCACUUAAAAUGUACUAACUUUUCAAUGAGAGAUGUAGGUUUGAGAGAAAAUGUUUGAACUCCCUUGAUGGAUCCUGUUGGUCCUAAGGCAGAUCCCCUUCCCAGACAGUGUCGCUUUGGACAGAAAACACAAAUCCUUGGAGGAGUGAGGUGAUAUGAGGAAGUGGCUUGGCAAGCCAUGGCUGUGCCUUGAUCUGCUGCUAGCCUCCAACUCCAGCUGUACAGGCACUGUGUGAGGUGUUCAGCCAUGCCUUAGCUGUAGUAAGCAUCCUGGGUUAAUGAGGUAAUGUUCUUAUGAUUUGUGAGGUCACCUGAUAGAGGGAAAAGGCACAUGGUCCUCCAUUUUGUAAUUUGGGGAGUGGGGAAGAUGGCAGGCUAGUGAAAUUCAGGAGUCAAGAAACAUGAUGUGAUCAGUUACAUAUCACAAAAAAAGAAGGAUAAGAAGGAAGAGGAGGAAGAAGAAGAGGAAGAAGAAGAGAAAAGGAAAAGAAAAGAAGAAAAAGAAAAGAUGAUGGGAAUAGCAGACUCCCAGGUCUUUAGAAAUGGUUUCAUCAUCUUUGGGAAGUGCAGAUUGUGGUCGCAGACCCCAGAUAUUUCACACCAACAAAAGCCAUCUGUCUGCUGCAUCUACAAACCAACCUCUACUUCCUGCCUUUGGUAUAGGCUAUCAGCUCUUUAAUAAACCAAUCAGAAUGUUAGAGAGGGAGUGUUUACAAGAUGUAGCCAUAUGAAUAAUAAUACCAAAGUCCAGUCUACACUCAACUCUGCAGGCAUAGAAACCAGCAUUUGAAUAAAACGAAGACAACAUUUACUCUGUGCAUAAUAAUAUUAUCCCAACAUGUGGGUGGGGCUUUGUGAUGAAGUAAUGACAGAAGGAGGCUCACAUGUGGGCAGUGGGGCUAGUUUCUGAUAGUGAAAGGGCAGGAAACACAGGGAAGGACAGGAGGAGGUUCUCAAGGAAUGACGGACAGAGUAAGGUAAGGUUGAAUUUAAACUUGGGUUUUCAAAGAGCUUUCAGGAAAUCUAAGUAGAAAAAAACUUGAAUACGUUGGCCUAAUGCAAGAUCUUUUGACCUACCAUUUUACAUGGGAAAUCUUUAUAUGAACCCAGCUAUAUCAGUAAAUACAAUAAGCCUAUAAGUCAAACAUUUACUAAAAAUAAGUUUU
ensembl:lincRNA predicted gene 12295